rnacentral:lncRNA from 1 species
CUUCUGAAUAUUGGCUAAAUCCAAAUUAAAAACAUCAAAAUUUUACAUAAAAUCCAAAAAUUGGUUCCAGUGUCAACUGCAUGGUACUGCUAUACUCCACUGAACGAAAAUUCCAAGAUUUCAACGUGAUAAAAACUUAAUGAUGGCGCCGCCAGCCUCGUGGUCUAGACUUUUAGAAAGUUGAUUCUUCAUCUUUGGGGACAGCUCACAUAAAAUACACUUAAAGGGAUCGUUUUGAAGUCCUCCACCAUAUUAAGUACAUGGGGGGGGGGCAUAUACUUUUCCUCCCCAUGCCGCUUAAGUUAAUAUUUGCUUGAGAGCAUUAAAAACACAUCUAUUUCAAUAGCACGUUUAUUUCAAAGAG